AGGAACAGCAGGAGCAGCAACAGGAACAGCAGGAGCAGACGGAGGAGGAGAUCCUGCAGGAAGUACUGGAGCUGCUGCGCGGGCAACGGAGGAAGAGAAGCGCCGCCAUCUAGUCCUCAAAGGACCCCGGAAUGGCGAUGGUCCCACCGCAUCCUGCGUGUGCCGAGCACCAUCCUGGCCUUCCAGCCGUGACUGCAGAUCAGCCGCAUAGAUUUUAGCUGCUUUUGCCUCAUUUAACCAUGACAAGGCUCGUGAGUAGAUAUCAGGGUUGGAAAUAACAAAUCAGCAUCAUCCAGAAUGGGUCUAUGCCGAAAUUUGACUGAAUCCUGUGGACAUAUGCCCAAGACACCCCCAUAUCAAAUUGCUAGGUA